rnacentral:rRNA from 1 species
GUCCAGACUCCUACGGGAGGCAGCAGUGAGGAAUAUUGGUCAAUGGGCGGGAGCCUGAACCAGCCAAGUCGCGUGAGGGAAGACGGUCCUACGGAUUGUAAACCUCUUUUGCCGGGGAGCAACGGGGUCCUUGCGAGGGCCCAAUGAGAGUACCCGGAGAAAAAGCAUCGGCUAACUCCGUGCCAGCAGCCGCGGUAAUACGGAGGAUGCGAGCGUUAUCCGGAUUUAUUGGGUUUAAAGGGUGCGUAGGCGGAAUAUCAAGUCAGCGGUAAAAAUUCGGGGCUCAACCCCGUCGUGCCGUUGAAACUGAUGUUCUUGAGUGGGCGAGAAGUAUGCGGAAUGCGUGGUGUAGCGGUGAAAUGCAUAGAUAUCGCGCAGAACUCCGAUUGCGAAGGCAGCAUGCCGGCUCCACACUGACGCUGAGGCACGAAAGCGUGGGUAUCGAACAGGAUUAGAUACCCCAGUAC